CCCUUAGAUGUCCUGGGCCGCACGCGCGUUUCACUGAUGCAUUCAACGAGCUUAUAACCUUGGCCGAGAGGCCUGGGCAAUCUUGUUAACGUGCAUCGUGAUAGGGAUAGAUUAUUGAAAUUAUUAAUCUUGAACGAGGAAUUCCUAGUAAACGCAGAUCAUCAAUCUGCAUUGAUUACGUCCCUGCCCUUUGUACACACCGCCCGUCGCACCUACCGAUUGGAUGGUCCGGUGAAGCCUCGGGAUUGUGGUUCUUGCCGCUUUAUUGUGGCGUGACCGCGAGAACUUGUCUAAACCUUAUCAUCUAGAGGAAGGUGAAGUCGUAACA
rnacentral:rRNA from 1 species